UGGCUGGGUAGCUCAGUUGGUAGAGCAGGGGACUGAAAAUCCCCGUGUCAGGGGUUCGAUUCCCUUCCCCGCCACCAG
rnacentral:tRNA from 1 species